AGGAUGUCGCUGUAUUGUGCUGCUUC
rnacentral:piRNA from 1 species